GCCGCUGCCACCGUCGCCGCCGCCGCUCGGGUCCGGCCUCCCCCCCCGGAGCAAUAGGCUAUCGAUUCAGCUGCCUGUCGCUAGGAGCCCCGAGAGAGCAAGGCCUACACCGCCCGGCCGGAGCCCCGGCCUCGAUUGCACCACUUUCCCCCACCCCAGCGGGGAGACCCUGGAGGUCGCUAGAGCCCUCGCCACUCUCGGAACCAUAAUAAAAACAAGACGCUGAAGAGGCUACCACUGCGUGCUGGGAGAUGGGAUUGGGCCCUGAGAGAGCCAGGGGGAGGGGACGCCUCUCUGCUACCCGUCACCACCCGCCCGACCCCGCUGGCCCCACGGUGUCCGGCUCUGUCACCGCCGGCCUCCGGCUCCGAGGCCCCUUUUCUCCAUGACACCGAGGACUGGGGCUCGAGCUUCGCCUGGCCUUUGGCGAGCCUUGGUCUCC
rnacentral:lncRNA from 1 species